UCUCCGUUGGUGAACCAGCGGAGGGAUCAUUAUUGAGUUACUGAACUCCCAAACCCGUGUGAACUUACCACUGUUGCUUCGGCGGUCACGCCCCGGGAGCCCUGCGCGGCCCGGAGUCAGGCGUCCGCCGGAGGACCAAAACUCUUGUUAAUUUUUGUCAAAUCUGAAUCAAAACUAAGAAAUAAGUUAAAACUUUCAACAACGGAUCUCUUGGUUCUG
rnacentral:misc_RNA from 1 species